GGAGAGGUGCCCGAGAGGCCGAAGGGGCACGAUUGGAAAUCGUGUGUACUUAACGGUACCGUGGGUUCGAAUCCCACCCUCUCCGCCA
rnacentral:tRNA from 1 species